CGGCGAUGGCGGCGGCGGCGGCGGCGGCAGCAGCAGCGGGGGCUGCGGGCGGUCGGGGCUCCGGGCCGGGGCGGCGACGCCAUCUUGUGCCCGGGGCCGGUGGGGAGGCCGGGGAGGGGGCCCCGGGGGGCGCAGGGGACUACGGGAACGGCCUGGAGUCUGAGGAACUGGAGCCUGAGGAGCUGCUGCUGGAGCCCGAGCCGGAGCCCGAGCCCGAAGAGGAGCCGCCCCGGCCCCGCGCCCCCCCGGGAGCUCCGGGCCCUGGGCCUGGUUCGGGAGCCCCCGGCAGCCAAGAGGAGGAGGAGGAGCCGGGACUGGUCGAGGGUGACCCGGGGGACGGCGCCAUUGAGGACCCGGUGAGGGAAGGAUCUUUUCUUUUAUCACGACCCUCGCAUGGGGCGAGGGAAAUGGCCGAGCAUGGCUGAGGCCGCGCUCUGGCCGGGAGCAGGGCACAGCCCCUGCCUUG
rnacentral:lncRNA from 1 species